rnacentral:rRNA from 1 species
GAUGAACGCUGGCGGCGUGCCUAAUACAUGCAAGUCGAGCGAACAGACGAGGAGCUUGCUCCUCUGACGUUAGCGGCGGACGGGUGAGUAACACGUGGAUAACCUACCUAUAAGACUGGGAUAACUUCGGGAAACCGGAGCUAAUACCGGAUAAUAUAUUGAACCGCAUGGUUCAAUAGUGAAAGACGGUUUUGCUGUCACUUAUAGAUGGAUCCGCGCCGCAUUAGCUAGUUGGUAAGGUAACGGCUUACCAAGGCGACGAUGCGUAGCCGACCUGAGAGGGUGAUCGGCCACACUGGAACUGAGACACGGUCCAGACUCCUACGGGAGGCAGCAGUAGGGAAUCUUCCGCAAAGGGCGAAAGCCUGACGGAGCAACGCCGCGUGAGUGAUGAAGGUCUUCGGAUCGCAAAACUCUGUUAUUAGGGAAGAACAAAUGUGUAAGUAACUAUGCACGUCUUGACGGUACCUAAUCAGAAAGCCACGGCUAACUACGUG